CAUGUUCUCCAGUUUGUUAUAGAACCUACAAAGUGGUACUAGUAGUUAACUGAGUUUCCUGAGCACAGAUUAUUCCUCGAGGGCCACCUCAUUCUCAAGGAUAUUUAAGCUAUCAGGUCCAUGAGCUCAUAUUGGUUGAGGGUCCAUAUAUCUGUUUUGUGGGCUGGCAUUCCCUUUCAGCUCGACGGAUGUGGCUGCAGAGUGAUAUCCUAUUAUUCUGAACAAUUUGGAACCUGACAGGCUGUGUGGGGACAGAUGGAUGUGAUGCCUACAAACCUUAAUUUCUUUUAGUUAGUGAUAGCGCUUCAGACUAAUUACCGCUGGAGGCACAUAAACCAUGGGGAACUUACAUGAGCAGCCGUAUAAUGGGAAGGUGUAUAUACACCUGAUAUGGGGGAGAUUAAUAAUUAAAGAAGUCAAUAAAGUUCGGAACUAUAUUUUUGAAUAAACUUGACUUUUUUUCACUAGUAUACUUAUUUUCACGAAUAAAAACCCAGCGUUGAUAAGUCACUAUUCACACUAAUUUGAGGUGUAUAUACACCUGAUAUGGGGGAGAUUAAUAAUUAAAGAAGUCAAUAAAG
rnacentral:lncRNA from 1 species